rnacentral:rRNA from 1 species
AACGAACGCUGGCGGUAUGCUUAACACAUGCAAGUCGAACGAACAAAAUUGGGGCUUGCUCCAAUUUUAGUGAGUGGCAAACGGGUGAGUAGCACGUGGGAAUCUACCUAUCAGUACGGAAUAACAUUUGGAAACAGAUGCUAAUACCGUAUAUUCUCCAAGGAGGAAAGAUUUUAUCGCUGAUAGAUGAGCCCGCGCAAGAUUAGGUAGUUGGUAGGGUAAUGGCCUACCAAGCCGACGAUCUUUAGCUGGUCUGAGAGGAUGAUCAGCCACCAUGGGAAUGAGACACGGCCCAGACUCCUACGGGAGGCAGCAGUGGGGAAUAUUGGACAAUGGGCGAAAUCCUGAUCCAGCAAUACCGCGUGAAUGAUGAAGGCCUUGUUGUAAAGUUCUUUUAGUUGGAAAGAUAAUGACGGUACCAACAGAAAAAGCCCCGGCUAACUCCGUGCCAGCCGCCGCGGUAA